rnacentral:lncRNA from 1 species
UUUAUCACUACCUAUAGAAAGAAAUCCUGCUUUGAGAGUAUUUGUAAUGCGGUUUUGUUGUCGUUUGUUGCUGCUUAUUUCACUAAGAAAACCCAACAACUGAGACUGCCUAGCCCGCCGGUCCUGUGCGCUUUUAUUGUGCUUCUAACCCCAGUAGAGUAGAACUAAAUUGCACUGAAUGUAUAGUUAACUCUGUCUUGAAUUCUCUGUUUAUGCAAUGUGCUCGAAAGAAAAAAAUGUUAAAAAUAUAUCUAUAAUAAUAAUUUUUUGUCAUUUGUCUUUAUGUCCAGCUAUGAAUGUAGAUUUUGUGUCCCGACAGCCCUGUUCCUGGUCCAAGUACUUUGUAUUGUAUACGUGAGUCAUAA